AAACCUUCGGGCGCCAGACAGGAUUAAACCUGUCAAAAAUUAUCUUUACCCAGGAUAGCAGAAAAAUAACCACCUGUUACACAACAAAUAAUAAUAAUCCCAGACUAAAGGUCAUCAGGAUAUUUAUUUCUUUCAUAUGUUCAAAAUCAUAACACAGAAAAACAAAAUGGACAAAAAUAAAAUAAAACAAAAUAAGAAAUGACCACACGUUCCCGCUAGCGGUCUCUAUCCGGAAUCCGUGCCCGUGCCAGAAACCGACCGCGUCACGCUAAUCCACGUUUGCAGAUUCGUGUCCACAUUCAUUCACAAAAAUGUCCAUAAAAAAAAAGAGAAAAAGAGAGAACAAAGAAAACACUGGAUGAACAUCUCAUUCAGUUUCAUUAAAUCACACACAUUAAAUCAACAGCGUCAAUAAUUGUAUCGGGCCACAAUAAUUAUAAACAAAACACUAAGCACACAGAAAGUGCGAAUAUGAAAGCUAUGUGAAUGGGUGCGUGCGUGUGUUGCAGUGUGUGAAAUGGCGGCGCAAAGGUACUGACCACGUUUGCAGCAAUGCCCAUGGAAGUUGGUCUGGAAGUGCAAUGCUUCAGUCACGCACCAGACAUCAUACCCAUGAAACAGCUGAUUGACACACAGCCGUCUUUCCACCGUAAACUAUCACUCAUACGGGCUACCCUCAUGUGCAAACAAACGGAUGACGCUUCUGAUUCAGGUAUGACACGCUCCCUUUAAAUACAAUUCCCUUCGGCCGUUAAUUGACACACUCCACCCAGAAAUCACGCUAAAAUGAAAGUGAAAGUAACCAAUGUUAUAGGACAGAUUAUUUUGUUUGCCACAAGCUCAAACAAUUUACCUUCAAAACAACUAAGACUGGUUAAUUUGCAUUUUCUUGAAAUUGCAUCCAACAUUUACAUUGAGAAAUAUAUUUUACAACCUUUGUAAAUAAUGUAUAUGGACACCGUUUAAGUUUGUAAUGUGCAGAACAUCUGUGCAAGACCGAGUAGCUCAAGAUGCUUAAUACAUACUCUUUGAAACAUGUUUGUUAGUGUCUUUCUAAAUUAAAUUAAAUGUACAUGUAAUUUGAUUUCUGUCAGCAGAAUAUGAAAAGCCUACUGUACCUUGGAUCAGUUUCUCUUACAUUUUUAUUUAUAUAAACUCAAUUGUGCUAUUAAACAUUCAUGUGAUAUAACGUUGUCACAUUUCAUUAGAGAAGUUUAUGAAUUUUGAUACAGAGACAGGACCAGUUAAAGCUCUAAAACGGAUGGAAAGUACAAGAAAUAAAUGUAUUUAUUUUACCUGUUUUAAUAGCAAUAAUAUGUUAAUACCACUGAAGAAAAUGACAUUAACAUGUCUAAACCAAAAGACAAAGUUGUGCAAUGUAAACACAGUGAGCAAAUUCAGAUUUUUACAAAUCAUGUAAAAUACUGUCAUCCAUUUUUUAAAUGAACAGAAUAAAUAACAUGAUGUGCAGAAAGUGACACAACAUGGUAUCCUAUUUCAUGUUGCUAAAAAAAAAA